AGUGAACGCUGGCGGUAGGCCUAACACAUGCAAGUCGAACGGCAGCACAGUAAGAGCUUGCUCUUACGGGUGGCGAGUGGCGGACGGGUGAGGAAUACAUCGGAAUCUACUUUUUCGUGGGGGAUAACGUAGGGAAACUUACGCUAAUACCGCAUACGACCUACGGGUGAAAGCAUGGGAUCUUCGGACCUUGCGCGAUUGAAUUAGCCGAUGUCGGAUUAGCUAGUUGGCGGGGUAAAGGCCCACCAAGGCGACGAUCCGUAGCUGGUCUGAGAGGAUGAUCAGCCACACUGGAACUGAGACACGGUCCAGACUCCUACGGGAGGCAGCAGUGGGGAAUAUUGGACGAUGGGCGCAAGCCUGAUCCAGCCAUACCGCGUGGGUGAAGAAGGCCUUCGGGUUGUAAAGCCCUUUUGUUGGGAAAGAAAAGCAGCAGGUUAAUACCCCGCUGUUCUGACGGUACCCAAAGAAUAAGCACCGGCUAACUUCGUG
rnacentral:rRNA from 1 species